rnacentral:tRNA from 1 species
GGUGGCUCAGUGGUAGAGCGCGUGCCUAGCAUGCAUGAAGCCCUGGGUUUGAUUCCUCAGUACCA